rnacentral:siRNA from 1 species
UUAAUUUUGGACGCCUGAUA